CUUCCAUUGUUCUUCAUCACUUAGGUCAGAACAUGCAUCAUCAUCAUCAACCAGUGAAAAGCAACCUUGCUGAUUUAGGCACAGAAAGAAAAAGGGUUGAAUCACAACCCCUCUGUCCAAAGCCCAGAAAGCUCUCACCUUCCAUACCUGAAUUCCUCAGGCCAAUUAAGUGUAACAAACACAGUCAUUCAAAUGUCGAUAAUGGAA
rnacentral:sRNA from 1 species